CAGCAGCCGCGGGAAUACGAGGGGGGCAAGCGUUGUUCGGAAUUAUUGGGCGUAAAGGGUGCGUAGGCGGUUUGGCAAGUUUGGUGUGAAAUCUUCGGGCUCAACUCGAAGUCUGCAUCGAAAACUGCCGGGCUUGAGUAUGGGAGAGGUGAGUGGAAUUUCCGGUGUAGCGGUGAAAUGCGUAGAUAUCGGAAGGAACACCUGUGGCGAAAGCGGCUCACUGGACCAUAACUGACGCUGAUGCACGAAAGCUAGGGGAGCAAACAGGAUUAGAUACCCCUGUAGUCCCUGUCUCUUAUAA
rnacentral:rRNA from 1 species